rnacentral:rRNA from 1 species
GACGAACGCUGGCGGCGUGCUUAACACAUGCAAGUCGAACGCUGAAGCACCAGCUUGCUGGUGUGGAUGAGUGGCGAACGGGUGAGUAAUACGUGAGUAACCUGCCCUUGACUCUGGGAUAAGCCCGGGAAACUGGGUCUAAUACUGGAUGCCACAUGUCACCGCAUGGUGGUGUGUGGAAAGGGUUUACUGGUCUUGGAUGGGCUCACGGCCUAUCAGCUUGUUGGUGAGGUAAUGGCUCACCAAGGCGACGACGGGUAGCCGGCCUGAGAGGGUGACCGGCCACACUGGGACUGAGACACGGCCCAGACUCCUACGGGAGGCAGCAGUGGGGAAUAUUGCACAAUGGGCGAAAGCCUGAUGCAGCGACGCCGCGUGAGGGAUGACGGCCUUCGGGUUGUAAACCUCUUUCAGCAGGGAAGAAGCCACAAGUGACGGUACCUGCAGAAGAAGCGCCGGCUAACUACGUG